CAGCUGAACUGACAGUAAGCUGUCAUUUACUGCAGCCUGAUGCCUGGGAGGGUCCGAGUGGUGGCCGGGGCAACCUCGGUACCCUGCACAGAAGGCAGAUGUCUGCACAGCCAACCGGUGUGGAAACGCGGCACCCUGCCCGGGCCCCGGGCACAGAGGACCCGGCAGGCAGAUCGGAACCGUCACUCUGUCUGGCUGGAGGCCAUUCCAUGGUUGGCGUGUCUUCUGGUAUGCCAGUUCUAUACUGUUGUGGGUACGGUGGCUUCGUAAUUCAGCUGGAAAUCGGGAAGUCCAACACCUCCAGCUUGCUUCUUUCCCAAGAUUGCUUUGGCUAUUCUUCAUGGCCUUUCAUCAUUCCCUACCAAUUUUAGGACUUUUUGCUCUUUUUCUCUGAAAGAUGCCAUUGGAUUUUUUAGGGCUUGGCCUGAAUCUCUAGAUUGCAUUUGGUAGUAUGCAUGUCUUAGCGAAAUUAAUUCUUCUGGUCCAUGAGCAUGGUAUAUAUUUCCCUUUACUUGGGUCUUCAGCUCUUUUCAUCCAUGACUUACAGAUUCCAGUGUGCAGGUCUUUCACUUCCUUGAUUAAAUUUAUCCCUGGUAUUUCGUGCUUUUUGAGUCAAUGGAAACGGGAUUGUUUUGUUCCUUUCCCUUCCUGUUAGUGUAUAGAAAUGCAACAGAUUUCUGCGUCUGGAUUCUGUGUCCUGACCUUUAUCAGGCAUCCUGGCUAAUGGUGCUUGGCUCCCCCAUGUGAAUGAGCACACUGUUUGUGCUCUGUUCUCACACAUACUCCCACACACAGUUGCGUUCAAUUUGUCCAGCUGGGGGGAGCGGCCAUCCCAGUGCUCUUGAUUUUUCAAGCCCACGGACAUCACGGGUCCCUUCAUUUAUUGAAGUCUAAUUUAAUGUCUUUCACAGCAGCUGUAUCCUUUUCCUAACAUUCUUACCUGUCUUCUGUUAAAUUCACCCACGUGCUCUUAAAAACAGUCGUAUUAUUACUGCAAAUGGCACCUCUGUGAAACUGCAUGUGCGUUAAGUUCUCACGCACGUAUGGGAAUAGGUUUGCAAAGUUGUACGUGGUUCUUACUGAUUCUUGUCUGUAGGUGGCGCAGGGGCGUGUAGACAGUCCUGUAAUCUGAGGAUGGGUGCCGGUUUCGUGUCUCUCUGGCGGCCCACACGCCUUCACCAUUUCCCUGCCUUCCCGCCACGGGUUGAGUUCAGUGGGGAUGUGGCACCUCAGCCCACUCUUGAUCCUCAAGGAGGGGCUGUUGCUGUUUCACCGCUUGACCCCUGCUGCUGAGAGUUUUUGGCUGAAGUGAGACUGAGCCUUCUGUGUCCCGUGACUCCCAUUUCCACACUGAACACAGGCAUUGUAAUGGCUGAUUUUAUGUGUCAACUUGACCAGACCGUGGGAAGUCCAGACAUUUGGUCCAACAGGAUUCUGGGAGUGUCUGUGAAGGCAUUUCUGGGUCAGGGUAACAGUGUGUAGGCUGCAUGAAGCAACUUGCCCUCCCAGUGUGGGUGGGCCUCGUCUAAUCAGGUGAAGGCCUGCAUAGAACAAACAGGUGGAGGAAGAGGGAACUCGUCCUGUUCGACUGCCUGACCUGGGACAUCAGUCUUCUCCUGUCUUGGGCCUCGGACUGGAAUGCUGGCUCUCCUGGGCCUGCAGCAUGCUGAGCCAGGUGGAUGUGCAUGGGCAUCCUGUUGGUUCUGGCUCUCUAGAAAACCCUAGGUCUGCUGUCUUCCCACGGGUGAGGCUGCGCUCCUGCCACGUUGUUUCUGUGACUGUGCCCUGAUUUACUGAUUCUGCCCUGGAGGCUGAGUGCGUUGACAAUGUUUUGCCACCGCAUACUGCCUUGGAUAGCCUUGUGUUGUAGUGCGCGCGUGUAGGAAUUCCUGAAAGGCCUGAGUGUGGCGGGCGUCACUUCCAAAGUUUGUUUUUGGUGUCUUUUCUGGGGCAGCCACUAUGAAUUUCAAUGUAGUGAGGUUAGUUUUUUCUUUUUCCUCUUUUGAGUUGGCUGCUUUUUUGUGUCUUGCGUAAGAAGUUUCUACCCACAUGUGUUCUUGAUUUUCUUCUAAAAGAUUUUGUUUUGAUUUUUUUUAAUUGAUUUAUUUUACGCAGAGAG